rnacentral:rRNA from 1 species
UACGUAGGGGGCAAGCAUUAUCCGGAUUUACUGGGUGUAAAGGGAGCGUAGACGGCACGGCAAGUCUGAAGUGAAAGCCCGGGGCUCAACCCCGGGACUGCUUUGGAAACUGCCGGGCUGGAGUGCAGGAGAGGUAAGUGGAAUUCCUAGUGUAGCGGUGAAAUGCGUAGAUAUUAGGAGGAACACCAGUGGCGAAGGCGGCUUACUGGACUGUAACUGACGUUGAGGCUCGAAAGCGUGGGGAGCAAACAGG